AAAUCUCCUCAACUCCAUCGGCUCCUCUCGAUGUGGUCCUAAACUUGCGAGCUCCAUUGAUAAUGAACUGAAGAUUGAUUGCCAUCGGCCAAAGGCGCAUGGCGAGGCAGAAGGAACGAUCCGCUACAUGGCUGCAGAUUUCGUAGAAACUGGGUCUGCUUCCUCUCUCCCUCCAAAGGAAAAAAACUCCACGAUUGAUUCAGGUGUUGAGAUUCUCCAAGUACCAGAACUCUGUCGUGCGAUGGAUGAACUUCCCCAUCCAUGGCUCCGACGUGGACGGAUUAAACCUCCAGCAAGGUCAGCAUAUAUGUGCAAUGGGUCGGACAUGGCUUUUACUCUGGCUACCCCGUGGAUAAGGAUCAAGCUUGAUAUGGUCCAUGUUCGUACUUAAUAUUGGAUAUGAAAAUUAUGAUUUUGUGCUAUAGAAAGCCUGCUUUGACUAUUAAAUAAGGAAUUGUCUAUAGAACAGUUUCUCGGAUUGGAAUUAUUUUUCACAAUGUAUGCCUGCAACUAUCAAUGGUUGUAGAAAAUCAAUGAUCACCCAAUAUUCAAGAUUUUUAUUUGCAUUUAAAUUACGGACUGCUAUAAAAUUCAUGAUUGGAAUGACUGGGCGCUCUUAAGGUUUCCGUAUUAACUAAGCGAUCAUGCAUGGUUUGUUUCUUCAAUAAUCGAAAAAUAUUUUUCCAUGUAGUACAUGCGGAGAUGGAAGUAAAUUUGUCACCUAA